rnacentral:lncRNA from 1 species
UCCCCCUCUCUGCGUGUCUCCCCCAUGGAGCAAAUAUAUCAUGAGAAUAACUGCCUUCCUUUGUCUGGAUUCAUCAGCUGUCAUCCCUGAACUGCUGACUCCUGGCCACCAAAGGAUUAUGAAGCUUUUAUUCUCAAAGGAGAAACACUGGCUAAGUCAUUGCUGUCCUUUCUGCUAA